AAUAAAGUGCCUGAAAAAGGAUUAUCCUGAUAGGAUAAAUUAUGUAGAAUUCUACCUUUAUUA
rnacentral:tRNA from 1 species